rnacentral:ncRNA from 1 species
UGGGCAGUAUCGGUAAGAACUGCACCUGCUUGACCAUCAUAUAUACACGAAAUCUGCCUAGAUCCAUUUAGGACCAGGACAGAGGG